UACGUAGGCAGCGAGCGUUGUUCGGAAUUACUGGGCGUAAAGCGCACGUAGGCGGAUUGUUAAGUCGGGGGUGAAAUCCUGAGGCUCAACCUCAGAACUGCCUUCGAUACUGGCGAUCUUGAGUUCGGAAGAGGUUGGUGGAACAGCUAGUGUAGAGGUGAAAUUCGUAGAUAUUAGCUAGAACACCAGUGGCGAAGGCGGCCAACUGGUCCGAUACUGACGCUGAGGUGCGAAAGCGUGGGGAGCAAACAGG
rnacentral:rRNA from 1 species